rnacentral:miRNA from 1 species
AUGACUGACAUGCGCU